UACGGAGGGUGCAAGCGUUAUCCGGAUUCACUGGGUUUAAAGGGUGCGUAGGUGGGCCUGUAAGUCAGUGGUGAAAUCUCCGGGCUUAACUUGGGAAUUGCGCUCGAAACUACUUGGCUCGAGUGUGGCAGAGGAAGGUGGAAUUCCAGGUGUAGCGGUGAAAUGCGUAGAGAUCUGGAGGAACACCGAUGGCGAAGGCAGCCUUCUGGGCCAACACUGACGCUCAUGCACGAAAGCGUGGGGAGCAAAAGGG
rnacentral:rRNA from 1 species